AGGGGGUGCAGGUUAUCUCAUUUAUCACAUUUACUGACAUACAAGGGGUGCAGGUUAUCUCAUUUAUCACAUUUACUGACAUACAAGGGGUGCAGGUUAUCUCAUUUAUCACAUUUACUGACAUACAAGGGGUGCAGGUUAUCUCAUUUAUCACAUUUACUGACAUACAAGGGGUGCAGGUUAUCUCAUUUAUCACAUUUACUGACAUACAAGGGGUGCAGGUUAUAUAAUUUAUCACAUUUAC